AGUUAAGCUAAUUUGAUUAUAUCAUGCAGCAAAAAGUAAAGGAGAUGUGGCUUUCCUUGAAUCAAAACCCAAGCAACACAAGAGGAAGGAGAGGAAUUAGUGGGCUAAAGCCCAAUGGUGCCAAGUAAUAUCACACAUACAUCAAAGGAAAAAAGAAGAAAAAGAAAACCCUUUUUGCUUGGAUCCAUACGCAGCAGAAGGAGGUUGAGAAAGGAAGGGAAGAUGGGCUUUAAUUAAGACCCACAGAACGACAAUAAUAGGAGGCACGAAGGGGAGAACAAUUGGACAAGGAAGGAGACGAAGCAGAGGACGGCGGCAACAGUACAUCACGGGGUUCGAAGCCUCAAGCAGAAUUCCAGUCAUUAUCUUUCAUGUUUGGGUGAUGUUUUCUCUAAUUUUGAGUAGCUAAUUUCCCAAUUCUAGGGCUUAUAUGAAACCCUAUUAAUAUGAAUUGAUUGUUUAGUUUUGUUUGAGAAUUAAUCUAUGGUUUAUGAUUGCAUAACUCUUAAGAUUAUUAUUGGGUUUAUCAUUGUUUGCAAUAUAGAUUGGUAAUUGUUCUUGUAGAAUGAUUUAUUAGUUUGUAUUAUUAUUAGAUUUACACACUUUGUUCUGGUAGUUCAAAUGGUGAUAUUAUGCUAUGGUAUUUCAUGAUUUGUGAUUGAAAAGUUGAAUAAUUUGUGCUUUGUUUAGAUAGGUUAAGUCAGCUAAUCAAUCACAACACUAUUUUAUUUAAAUUAUUCCCUGCUUGUAGUUUAGAGAGCUUGAUAAACCAAUUAAUUCUCAUUCAAAUGAAACUAUUAGUCUUAUUAUUAGUGGUGGAUUCGACUAUCCUAGAUUUCACAUUAUUGUCUUUUUCCCAAUUUAAUUUUGUUAUUUUCAAGUUAUUUAGUUUACUUUAAAUUUUAGUUAACAAUAAUUAGUUCAAAAUCAAAUCAUUAUAUCACUAUUUAGGAUAAAGUUAGUAGACAUUAUAUUUUUCACUACCCUAUUAUUUUUCACUAACUACUAAGUCUUGUACACUUGCAAGAAUAGGGUUUUAUACUAAGUCUUAAAGUGUUAUUAGGUUUUUUUUUUUAUUUCUUAAUUUAGCUAUUUUUAGUUUAUAGCUAGAGUUCAAUUAUUUCAAUUUGAGGGAGAAGUGUUUUGGAGGUACAUUGAGAGACUUAAAGAUUUUCUUACUCGAUUCAUAAACCAUCAUUUAGAAAAAUGGGAAGUAUGCCAAACAAUUUAUGAGGGCGUUAAUGAUGAGUCUAGAUGCAUUAUGGAGGUAAUGUUUGAUGGGGCCUUUAUGUCUCAAACCGUAGAUGAGGCUUGGAGUCUCUUUGAGUGGUUUAUACAAGAAACUUAUGAUUGGGAGUCGACUAUGCAUUUUAAUUUAUAUGAUCGACCUUUACCAGCUCGACCACCCUCUAUGAGUUUUCCUUUCAAUGAACCUCAUGCAAAUAAUUUACCUUCAUACCAACCUGAUGUUCAAGUUUCGAGUUCCAAUCAUGAUCUUGGGAUUAUCUUCUCUACUAUUAAAGAUCUUUCUAAGAAAGUAGAGGAGAUAAAUAUUGGCUUAGAGGGUGUAAAUAAUGGAAGGAUCUCUUUGCGAGAUUCUAAUGAAAUAGUUAGUGCGCCUUAUCCCCCAUAUUCACCAUAUUAUGUGGAAGAAUUAGAAAAACAAGAGCAAUUUUCUCCUCAAACAUUCCCAACCCAUGAUGAAGUUUUUUUUGAGGAAAAUAAUGAGGAGUGUUAUGAUUUUGCACCACCGUUUUAUAUUGAGCAGGAUUGUAGUUCAGUCAAGUUAGAUGAUUUUGGGGUAAACAUGAUUUCCGAUGUGGAUGAUAUUGAGCUUAAGUUACCAAUUGAGCAAGAAAGGUGAAUCAAUUUCGGAGAUAAUAAAGAGAAUGUCACUAAGAUUUUUUAUACUUUACUUAUGAGUUUAGAUAAUUUUCAGCAUAAUGAUAAUAUUUCACCUCAUUAUAGGGAAACAACUUCUCUUAUGGGUGAUGAAAAAAAACGCCUUAAGGAAUUAGAAGAGUCACCCCUAGAAGUGCUUAGAUCUUGCAUUGAUUUAGAGGAAACUACUGAAUCAAUACUCAAUAGGUGCAUCAGAGCAAGCUGAUUUUAACUCACUUAAUAACAAUAUAAUAGUUCAUGAUUCUAUAGUGUCACACUCUUGUCCUCAUACUGUUAGGCUUAGUUCCCCUUGUAAUCACCCAAAAUUCUGCAUUAUAGGACCUAAUUACCCACAAAUGUGUGAUGGUUAUUGUCUAAAUCACGAGAUUGGUUAAACCAACUGAAGUUUUCAAAGAAGCAAAGAACAAUAUUGAGGUAACUCUAGAUGAUCUUCAAGGUUAUAGUCUCCCUAAUGUCUAGCUAUAAGUUAUAUCAGUUAGACCACCAAUGCAAGUUCACUACUUUCUCCAAUAUUUGUCGUUAUAACUUUAAUAAUCUAUUAAGGGUCAUAUAUUUCUUAGCUCUUUGUACACUCUCUUAUGCUUACAUAUGAUUUUCUGAGUUCUAUGAUCAAUCUUAUGACAAGCUUCUUCGAUCUUUGAUGGGGUAUGAUUUAACUUACUAAAUUCGAUUAGAGUGGUUGAUGCUCUAUCUCCAUUUCCAUUUUCUUACUUAGUCUAGUGUAUGCCUUUCUUCAUCCUGGUUAACUGUUUGCCAUUGUUCAUUUUUAUUCUGUUUUCUUUUGGGGUUUAAUAUAUUGUUUUUGUUAUCUUUAUCUAUAUGCUAUGAAUAAGUUACUACAGUUGAUUUUAUUGUGCACACAACAGGGCCAUUAAUGCAGAAGCAUGUAUUCUACACGAACUUCGAGAAAUGCAAUGUCGCACCCAUAUCAAUUGUACUCCUGCUACUGCCUGUUUCAUUCUUCAUUCUGGCUGCUGUUUGUCGUCUUUCUGUCCAGCGUCUAGUACUAUUGUUACAACUUCUCCGACUAGGAACUAAGUGUGGGGGAGAGGAGAUUUCGGUGCAAUUUUUUUUAUUGUUUGGUGUAUGUUGCUGUUGUUUGGUGUUGGUUCACUGGCUAGCUGCUUUGUGGGAAGAAUAUUAGUGCUUUACAGCCUUACAGGUUUAUUUUAUGGCAUAUAAUUGCUGGGUUGUCCUAUUUAUGGGGAGGUGUUGCCCAAAUUUUUCAUAAAUUUUAAGGGAAAACUUUUAAGUUUAUAUAUGUUAUUACGUGUCUAUUUGAGGGUAUAUUAUACACCGUUCAUUUUCAUCUCAUAGAUGAGCAGCUUGUUAAUGAGAAUAAUUGAUAAUAGGCUCUAAUGUAAUAACGUUUUACUCAAAUUCCGUUUUAUUACAUAAUUUUUUUUUUUAAGCUUUGAAUGUGAUGGCUUUAACUCUUGCAACCUAUCAAUGUACCUUAAUAAUGAUCAUUCUUAUUGGUAAUCUAGCACACUUUCUUCAUUGGCUAAGAUGCGGAGUAUGGAGGAAGGACUUUUAUACCUUAAUGUACCUAAUUAAUACCUAUACUUAUCUUGGUGAUCUUUCACUGCUCUUGGUUACUGGAGAUUUACUUGACUUUGUUAAAAAAAUAGAGGGAAUAAUCAUGGUUCAGAAAAACAAGGGAUUAGUAAUCCAAAUUAUCAAAAUUGUGAGAAUGUGAACCACUAUAAAAAAAAGAGUGAAAAAAAAAUAUUGUAUUUCCAAAAAGGAAACUGAAAAAAAAAGCAUAUAAAAACCUAAAGAGCAAAGCAAACAACAAAGUAUCGAGUACUCCUUUGAGAUCAUUGGGUGGCAAGUGCAAUGUCAUAUGAAACAGACGAUCCAUGUACGGGUACUAAGUGCUUCUUGUACGGAAAAGUAUGUGGGAACCAACUGAAACAAUAAUCAAGUCUAACCAAAGUACCUCGUAUUCGAACGUCAAUACACUUGCACAUGAGCACCUAGAUUACUUAUGAGAUCAAACUAAUUUUAUUAUAAAGGUUGCUUGAGAAUAAAAGUUAGUAGCGUUCAUAGCUUGCUAACACAACACAAAUGUUUUUAUGGCUAACUUUUAAAUUCUUUUAAAACAAAAUUGUUUUAGCCUAUUGUUAAACUCUCAUUACUUUGGUUUUUUCCCUGAGAGAUGGUGCAGUGAUAUGACCCAAGUUGGUCUUGAGUGAUAUUGGAUAUUGGUUCAAUAUUUUCUUUGCUCGAGGACUAGCAAAGUUAAAGUGUGGGGGAGUUGAUAAGUGUUAAUUAUUAUAUAUUAUAACCUCUUUAGUCCCACUUACUAGCUCUCUAUUAGUAUUUAUAAGUUGUGGGUUUUAAUCGUUUUAAUAGGUUAUCGAAGUAAUUGUGUUUAAUGAUUAUUUAUUAAUUUGACCUAUAUCAUAUUUUAUACUAGCAAUAAUUUAUCAAACGUUAGCAGGUACAUUAUAAUUUUAAAGUCAAAGAAAUGAAUAUUAGCCUUAGCAAUUUUAUGAGUUAAGCUAAUUUGAUUAUAUCAUGCAGCAAAAAGUAAAGGAGAUGUGGCUUUCCUUGAAUCAAAACCCAAGCAACACAAGAGGAAGGAGAGGAAUUAGUGGGCUAAAGCCCAAUGGUGCCAAGUAAUAUCACACAUACAUCAAAGGAAAAAGAAGAAAAAGAAAACCCUUUUUGCUUGGAUCCAUACGCAGCAGAAGGAGGUUGACAAAGGAAGGGAAGAUGGGCUUUAAUUAAGACCCACAGAACGACAAUAAUAGGAGGCACGAAGGGGAGAACAAUUGGACGAGGAAGGAGACGAAGCAGAGGACGGCGACAACAUUACAUCACGGGGUUCGAAGCCUCAAGCAGAAUUCCAGUCAUUAUCUUUCAUGUUUGGGUGAUGUUUUCUCUAAUUUUGAGUAGCUAAUUUCCCAAUUCUAGGGCUUAGAUGAAACCCUAUUAAUAUGAAUUGAUUGUUUAGUUUUGUUUGAGAAUUAAACUAUGGUUUAUGAUUGCAUAA